UACGAAGGGGGCUAGCGUUGUUCGGAUUUACUGGGCGUAAAGCGCACGUAGGCGGAUCGUUAAGUCAGAGGUGAAAUCCUGGAGCUCAACUCCAGAACUGCCUUUGAUACUGAAAGUCUUGAGUAUGGGAGAGGUGAGUGGAACUGCGAGUGUAGAGGUGAAAUUCGUAGAUAUUCGCAAGAACACCAGUGGCGAAGGCGGCUCACUGGCCCAUAACUGACGCUGAGGCACGAAAGCGUGGGGAGCAACAGG
rnacentral:rRNA from 1 species